GAUGAACGCUGGCGGCGUGCCUAAUACAUGCAAGUCGAGCGAACAGACGAGGAGCUUGCUCCUUUGACGUUAGCGGCGGACGGGUGAGUAACACGUGGGUAACCUACCUAUAAGACUGGGAUAACUUCGGGAAACCGUAGCUAAUACCGGAUAAUAUUUCGAACCGCAUGGUUCGAUAGUGAAAGAUGGCUUUGCUAUCACUUAUAGAUGGACCUGCGCCGUAUUAGCUAGUUGGUAAGGUAACGGCUUACCAAGGCAACGAUACGUAGCCGACCUGAGAGGGUGAUCAGCCACACUGGAACUGAGACACGGUCCAGACUCCUACGGGAGGCAGCAGUAGGGAAUCUUCCGCAAUGGGCGAAAGCCUGACGGAGCAACGCCGCGUGAGUGAUGAAGGUCUUCGGAUCGUAAAACUCUGUUAUUAGGAAAGAACAAACGUGUAAGUAACUGGGCACGUCUUGACGGUACCUAAUCAGAAAGCCACGGCUAACUACGUG
rnacentral:rRNA from 1 species